GGCUGGGCUAUGUAGUUCUGGGAUUCUGAAGGUGAUCAAUAACUUAGGGUCAGUAAAGGAGCCAGACAGCAGCCAGACUUUCCUCAGUCCCUUCCUCAGAGCCCAUGCACAAGGAGUCACUUUGUUUUCUGAUUAGCCAAGCUGCCAUGUUGCCUAAAAACCAGACUGGAAAGAACAUUCAUUGUACAGCUGAGCAUAUUGUGUGACUGAGUGAGAAAAGAACAGCAACAAGAUGCUCUGCCUCUCGUCAACUGUAGGAAGCUGCAAAUUCAAGGCCAGUGACCAGGUUCACAAAAUGCAAUUGUUCUCAAUGACACUUAACAAAGAGCCAGGGAGAGAAUCGAUUGCCAUUAAAAGCUGGCCAAGAACAUCGAUCGUCUCCCCAGUGUGGGAGGGAAUAUCUUGCUGUCAAAUGCUCCUGAAUACAAUUCCAACUCCUGCUCUGUCCUGCAUCUUGCUGUGGUUGGGGAAGAGGGUGCAGUGCUCUCAUUUAUAGUAUGCAGGCUAGGAUCUGAGCAGUAAGUCUUGUUCAUCCAUCUGUCUAUCCAAAAAAUGCUAGCUGAGUGACUGCUGCAGCCAGAUGCUAAGGCAGGUCCUGGGAAUAAACAGAUGUACAGGGCAAAAAGCUUGCCCUUUAGGAGAACAUGACAGACACUGGGAAAUCAAUAGCCACAGAGAAACAUAGCAAGUGCUAGAAUAAAAGCAUGUUAACCACAGGGUACUUUGGUAGCAGGGAGUGGAGAAGUUGAACACAGAGGGAAGACAUGAAGACAUUCCAGAAAGGCAGAGAGGGUGGUCCAUGCGAAGCAACAGAAGGCACUAGGAACAUCCUGGGAACUGCAACUUACCAAGCAGCUGAGGCUCAGAGUGGGCUUGGGAGGGGAUGGGAGAUCAGGCUGGAGGGCUGGCUGGGAGCUUAGCCAGAGCACAGGGCACAGUAUAGGACUUUAGGCAAGGGCACAGUGUCAGAUGGGUGAUUGGACGGUCACCCUGGCUGCAGUGGGUUGUGGGGGAAUGGAUAAAAGAGGGGCAGGACCAGCGUGCUAGCCUGGGGGUUCCUGGUGCCCUCAGUUUCCUUCCUUGGCCUUCCUCUGCU
rnacentral:lncRNA from 1 species